UUUAGGGUUAAAUGCCCAAGUAUCCGGAAGACAACCCGUGGCGAAGCCGUUUUUUGGGACGGUAUUGACCCUGGAACCCGAAAGGGUGGGAGCCGACCAGGAUUAGAUACCCUGGUAGUCCACCGCCGUAACCGAUGGGUGCUAGGUGUGGGGGGUGUCGACUCCUUCCGGGCCGAAGCUAACGCAUUAAGCACCCCGCCUGGCGAGUACGCCCGCAAGGCUAACACUCCAAGGAAUUGACGGGGGCCCGCACAAGCAGCGGAGCAUGUUGUCUAAUUCGACGCAACGCGAAGAACCUUACCUGGGCUCGAAAUGUAGUGGAAUCCGGUAGAAAUAUCGGCGCCCAGCAAUGGGCCGCUAUAUAGGUGCUGCAUGGCUGUCGUCAGCUCGUGUCGUGAGAUGUUGGGUUAAGUCCCGCAACGAGCGCAACCCUUGUUACCAGUUGCUACCAUUUAGUUGAGCACUCUGGUGAGACCGCCUCGGAUAACGGGGAGGAAGGCGGGGAUGACGUCAAGUCCUCAUGGCCUUUAUGUCCAGGGCUACACACGUGCUACAAUGGCCGGUACAAACCGUCGCAAACCCGUGAGGGGGAGCUAAUCGGAAAAAGCCGGCCUCAGUUCGGAUUGGAGUCUGCAACUCGACUCCAUGAAGCUGGAAUCGCUAGUAAUCGCGGAUCAGAAUGCCGCGGUGAAUACGUUCCCGGGCCUUGUACACACCGCCCGUCACAUCACGAAAGUGGGUUGUACUAGAAGCCGGUGCGCUAACCGCAAGGAAGCAGCCGUCCAAGGUGUAAUUCAUGAUUGGGGUGAAGUCGUAACAAGGUAAAUCGAAUUCCCGCGGCC
rnacentral:rRNA from 1 species